ACUAGCUGGACAGCUUCUACGCCUUUAGCCAAGUGGCUUCUUACUGCGUACCGACUUACCUUAACAAAUCGUUGAGUGGUGUCAAUAGUGGUUGUGAGCUCCUGGCCACCUGCUUAAACUAUAUAGAUGAGGACUUGCACAAAUUAUUUUCUGGGAAAAAUAAGGUUUACUUUCUCCCCCAAUUAUUGUCUCUAUUUACCAUCAACACACCAAUCAGCGAAGUUCUUAAAAUAUGGGACUUUUUAAUUUCCCAUGGAUUCUAUUUGUGCAUACUAGUACUAUCCGCUAUUCUUGUGCAAGACAAGACAGCAAUUCUUACCAUGAGAGAAGAUAAGCUCUCGCAGUAUUUUACCUGCAUUGCCAAUAUUCAGGCGGGGCCGGUUAUACGCUUAGCAUAUCGCUUUAUAAAAAGAAUUCCUAGGGAACUCCACGAGGCCCUCGUCAAGCAUACGCACGUGUUUGUCGACGGCGCGCGACUUGACGAGAAGCUGAGCUCAAUUUGAUAUUAUAAAAAUGGUGGGUCGCAUUCGCUGGAAAACUUUCAUUAAAAAAUAAUAAUGCUAAAUAUAGCAAUCACUGAUUGGUAGGUCGUUUGUGACUGCAUGAAAAUUUAUUGUUUCUUAGUAAAGCUUAAUAAAAUCUA